rnacentral:rRNA from 1 species
AGAGUUUGAUCAUGGCUCAGAACGAACGCUGGCGGCAGGCUUAACACAUGCAAGUCGAACGCAUCGCAAGAUGAGUGGCAGACGGGUGAGUAACACGUGGGAAUCUACCCAUCCCUGCGGAACAACUCCGGGAAACUGGAGCUAAUACCGCAUACGCCCUUUUGGGGAAAGAUUUAUCGGGGAUGGAUGAGCCCGCGUUGGAUUAGCUAGUUGGUGGGGUAAAGGCCUACCAAGGCGACGAUCCAUAGCUGGUCUGAGAGGAUGAUCAGCCACAUUGGGACUGAGACACGGCCCAAACUCCUACGGGAGGCAGCAGUGGGGAAUAUUGGACAAUGGGCGCAAGCCUGAUCCAGCCAUGCCGCGUGAGUGAUGAAGGCCUUAGGGUUGUAAAGCUCUUUCACCGAUGAAGAUAAUGACGGUAGUCGGAGAAGAAGCCCCGGCUAACUUCGUGCCAGCAGCCGCGGUAAUACGAAGGGGGCUAGCGUUGUUCGGAAUUACUGGGCGUAAAGCGCACGUAGGCGGAUAUUUAAGUCAGGGGUGAAAUCCCGGGGCUCAACCCCGGAACUGCCUUUGAUACUGGGUAUCUUGAGUAUGGAAGAGGUUAGUGGAAUUGCGAGUGUAGAGGUGAAAUUCGUAGAUAUUCGCAGGAACACCAGUGGCGAAGGCGGCUGACUGGUCCAUUACUGACGCUGAGGUGCGAAAGCGUGGGGAGCAAACAGGAUUAGAUACCCUGUAGUCC